rnacentral:rRNA from 1 species
AUUGAACGCUGGCGGCAUGCCUAACACAUGCAAGUCGAACGAGUGGCGGACGGGUGAGUAAUGUCUGGGAAACUGCCUGAUGGAGGGGGAUAACUACUGGAAACGGUAGCUAAUACCGCAUACCAUCAGAUGUGCCCAGAUGGGCUUAGCUAGUAGGGGGGGUAACGGCUCACCUAGGCGACGAUCCCUAGCUGGUCUGAGAGGAUGACCAGCCACACUGGAACUGAGACACGGUCCAGACUCCUAAGGGAGGCAGCAGUGGGGAAUAUUGCACAGUUGGCGCAAGCCUGAAGCAGCCAUGCCGCGUGUAUGAAGAAGGCCUUCGGGUUGUAAAGUACUUUCAGCGGGGAGGCGGUACCCGCAGAAGAAGCACCGGCUAACUCCGUGCCAGCAGCCGCGGUAAUUC